UUGUGUAAAAUGAAAAUAAUGUAGCAAAAUGUUUUUAUUUCCCAUGAAGGAAGGAUUUCAUAUGUGAGAUGUAUUGUGUAGAACUGGUCAAUUUCACGUAGAAAUUUAGGGCUGGACUGGUUUAUACGUAGUAGAUGUGGUUGCGACUGUUGUAGUUUGUACAGAUGAGCGGUUGUUGUUUCAAGCAUUAUGAAGCAGAUGCGUUUAAUUUAGCGGUUGAGAAUUGAUACGUUUUGCGGAAGUUUUAUGACUAGUUAACAAUUAGGUACAACAACAGUUAAAUCGAAAAUGAUCAAAAAAAUAUA
rnacentral:sRNA from 1 species